rnacentral:rRNA from 1 species
UACCAGCUCCCUGAGUGGUAAGGACGAUUAUUUGGCCUAAAGCGUCCGUAGCCGGCUUAUCAAGUCUCUUGUUAAACCCAAUGAUUCAAUCAUUGAUCUGCAAGAGAUACUGUUAUGCUAGAGGACGGGAGAGGUCGACGGUAGUCCAGGGGUAGAGGUGAAAUCCUAUAAUCCUUGGAGGACCACCAGUGGCGAAGGCGGUCGACUAGAACGUGCCUGACGGUGAGGGACGAAAGCUGGGGGAGCGAACCGGAUUAGAUACCCGGGUAGUCCCAGCUGUAAACGAUGCGGGCUAGGUGUUGGGGUGGCUACGUGCCACUUCAGUGCCGCAGGGAAGCCAUUAAGCCCGCCGCCUGGGGAGUACGGCCGCAAGGCUGAAACUUAAAGGAAUUGGCGGGGAGCACCACAAGGCGUGAAGCUUGCGGUUC